rnacentral:ncRNA from 1 species
CACAAAGCUUUGAUAGGAAGUAGUAGGUCGUUGUCAGUCUGCUCAGAGAGCCGAUGGUUGGUGGGAAUCGGAUGGACGGACGAACUGAAUGGAUCCUUGAGCUCUGCAGGGGAACGAAAGCAGACUGUUUACGGCCGCUUUUUAGUAUCCUGCAGCGUUAUCCUCCCCGUUACCGGAGAUAUAAGGUCUGUUAACCGGCAUACAACCAGGUGUCCAGGUUAAAGAUAAAUUAGGGUGGUACCACGGCUUUUCGUCCCUUUC